AGUUAGUAGAUAUAGCAUAACAUAGGCUACAUAGCUUAGCUCCUUUUGUGGGUUAAUUGGUGUUAUGUUGUAUUCAUGUACUGGUUUUUUUUUGUUUUCCUAUGUUCUUGCUCCGGCAAGGUGUAUUGCCCCUCGGGUUUCCUUUUGGGAAUAUUCAGGUGGGGAUUUCUUACCCCCCAGUGAUCUCUCAAAAAAUAAAUUAAGUGACUUUCUAUUAGAUGUAUCUAAACGCUUUUUAGAUAUAGAUAGAUCUAUAUUUGGACAAAUUUGAGUCGCUUAAUAUGGGACGGAGGGAGUAGGUAGUAUAUAUAUGUACACAGCCAGCAAUUUCUUGAGUUUUUGUGGGUCCAAGGAAAAUAGAGAGCAGAGAAAGCAUGUGAGUGUGAUUUUUUUUUAUGCGAUUGAUCCAUGUAUGUAUUUGUGGUUGUGUAGACCGCCGUGGUGGAUGUUGCCAGAGGGAAGGAGGAGCUGCACCUCGUGGCCAUGAAAAGCUGCAAGAACGCCACGCCAUGUGGCUUCUGGUGCUGGUCGGUACCACGCGGGCUCUAUGCGGCCAACCUCCGGAUGCUCGAUGGGCGGCGCCUGGCCGUCGUGCUGGACCUUGACGAGACCCUGGUGGCCUCCAACAACAUGAGCACCUUCGAGCACCGAAUGGACAAACUCAAGGGGUGGCUCCUGGAGUGCAACGUCAAUGAUGCUUCCAAUAUGAAGGCCAUCUCGGACGAGCUCUGUAGGACUUCCAAUGACAUGGACUUGCUCGUGGAUUUCGCGGACAAGGGCGCCAUCGUCAUCGACAACCAGGAAGUGAUCAGCCGUGGUGAGGAGGUGCGACUGCGUGCUCCUGCUGGGCAUAUUAAGGGGAUCCGGCCUGUCAUCAGGGACGUGCCGAGCAGGAAUAAUGUGGUUCUCACGUGCAUCAAUCCACAGGUAUACAUAAACCAUCCUAAAUACUCCGUACUAUACACAAUUUGUUAUAUUUCUAUGUCGAAACUCGAAAGUAGAUAAUUUUAAGUCAAUCUAAAGUUUGAAUUAUAUAUGCAACUGUAUAUCAACUCGAAUUGUCAUUGAACAUAGAAUCAAAGCUCAGGAUCGUCGCGUAGAAAUAAAAAAUCAAUCAAUCUAGAAAUAGGUAUUACAUCCUAUAUUAUUAUUAUCUCUUCUAUUUGUUUAACAAAAAAAAUACAGUUUAUAAAUUGCUCCAUGUACUGCAAAUUCAUUAAUUAACCAAUAUAUCCUCAUGUCUAAUUUUUAAGCUGCUUUGUUCUGUAUAUAUACUCUCGACGAGAUUUUUUUCUGCAGGUCAAUGAUAUUUUACAGAUGUCAUAACUCACAACUGAGAUCACUGAAUUUCAGUGAUUUCAGCUUCAUUUCGGCCAAAUGACAAAAAAUUGUCACUUGAAACUGUGUGAAAUUCAACAAACAUUUUGAGGAAUUUUGGCAAAAAAAAUAAAAUAAUUUGAUAUUUCUUUGCUUGCACGGAUCAUACACCAAGACAAAGGCCCUGGUUGGGAGAAAUUGGCCCAGUUUUCAGUUACCCUUUUGCAGGUGUACGUAAAUUAUUCGACGAACAAAAACACUUCUCAUACAUAUAUGUUCAAGCAUUGCCUCUAAAGUUUCUUUGAAAGGGCAAACUUUCUUUCAGCAAAGCAUCAAAACGAUAUGCAGCUUCAUUACUUUCUGGAUAAAUAUAUUUAGUAGUUGUACUACUGAAAUGGUUGAAAUAUUUUUUUUUUACCGAAAGAUAAUUAUUUCGGUGUCCACUCAGUCUCAAACUACUGAAAUCAAACCCAACUUAAUUUGGCCCAACAUUCUUGAUAUGCUAUAAUUUAUGUAUUAUGUGCGUGUAAUGCCGCAUCUGUAGGUUUUACACAAAAACCAAUUCUGCGUAUGCAUGCAUGCUAGUAGGCACACAGUGUAAGUAUUUUAGAAAAAAAAUGAGAAGUUGGUUUCUUCAGUAUUUUUGACGGUUCAUCAACCCGCAAGCUUUUAAGUUCUGAAAAUGUCCAAAUGCUGAUUUAUUUUUCAUUGAUUUAUUCAAUGCUCUGGUCCACUAGUAAUGUAUGUUUCCAAUGCUUGAAAAUAUUUUUCUGCCGUAUUUAGCUUUUUGUAAUUUGCUAGCUAUGCAUGUCCUCAUCUUAACCUGCAGCAUGCAAUGUUAAAAUGUGAUCCUGCAGGUUCCUGAGACUAGUGUUUUUGUAAACAUAAGACCUGGUUGGGAUGAUUUAAGGACUUACUUAUCAGGCAUUGAACACCUAUUUGAGGUCUAUGUAUGUACAAUGGGUGGAAUAGAUUAUGCUCAUGAGGUAUGGAGACUGCUUGACCCAGAAGCCGGAUUGAUCAGUCCAGAGGAGAUUUCACAACGUAUAAUAUCUGCGAAGUCAGGUAAAACCUCUAUGGUGCAGUGGUUCUUUUACUAUCUUUGGAUGCACUCAACGAAACAUGCAUAUAGAGUUUAGUUUCCUUGUUAGUACUCGCUCCAUUCCACAAAACAUCUCAUAUAGGUUUGUGCAUUUGGACCAUGCCUGCUCUCGUUUUUAGUGUCGGACCAUUCAUAUUUCGAUUAGUACUAAAUGAAAGUGAACUGUUAUUGGCUGGGUGCGGAGUCAAGAGAAAAACGAGUUUUAUUAUGGAACAAGCGAAAAAAAAGUAUAUGAGUUAUUUAUGAAACAGAGCGAGUAUAUUAAUGCUAAAUGUUGAUAGACUGAAAAUACGGCUAGAGCACAUGCCCUUGCAAGCUACUACUAUCUCCGUGUACUUCUAGAUUUUGUCCUAAGUCAAAUUUUUUUUAUAUAUUUUUCAACUUUGUAUAUUAUGACAUCAAAUCUGACAUCAGAUUAUGAAAUUGCAUUUCCUUCCGUCCGGAAAUAAGUGAGUACUAAUUUUUAUAGUGUCAUAAAUGUUACUACAUUUUCCAAUAAUAUCAGUCAAACUUUAAUAUUUUUAACUUAGGAAAACCUAUCUGCGUGACAGGGUGCCAUGCAACUUUACCUGACUUAAUUCUAAAACUGCUUUUGUAUCCAUCUUUGUUCUAAGUACUGAAUGUCAUUUACCCGCAAAAAAAAUAACGCAAAUAGAAAAGGAUAUAUAAGUCAAUGAGUGUUGACUACCUGUGGUUAUAAAAAGACUGAAAGAAAAGAUAUUAUUUUCAGUUUUUUUUACCAUAAACAUAACCUAAUAGUAUUGAUCAUGUGUUCCAUUCCUGUGCGCAUUUUUCAUUUUGACCGUCAGAUUCCAAGAAAUCACUUCAGCGUGUGUUUCAAGAGAGUUUAUGCCACCCAAUUAUGGCUGUGGUAAUUGAUGACCGGUCUGAAGUUUGGGAUGAUAAAGAUAAACAACGAGUUAUUGAAAUCCGAGCUUACAAUCCAUCAGCUUGCCCAGAAGACAAGGUUUUUUUUGUUCAUACUUCAAUUUAUUUUGAAUAACGUCUCUUAAAUUUGCAUAAAUUUUAUACUAUUAUACAUCAGGCGGUGAAUGGUCUUUCUGUGCUUGAGAAUCUAAGAAGAGCUCUCUCGGAUCUUCAUGAAAAUUUCUUCAGGUUUAUGUACAAUGAGCUCAACCUACUUAUAUGCAAUUUUCUUCAGGUUUAUUUGUUUUGGUAAUCCUCUCAACUUAGUCAAUGGUUUUUAUCUUCUAGAGAGUUUGAUGAAAAUCUAAUAAAGAAAGGAGAUGUGGAAGUAAUGUAUGAAAAUGAGGCAUUAGAUCUUCUGUACCCUCCCAGCAAUAUGUUUCACUACAGCCCAUGGAAAAAGGUAUUUUCUUGCUGCCUUCCUUGAUAUUAAUGAAUUGUUUGAUCAGUCAGUAAUUAUCAGAAAAGUUUAUAUCACGUGAUAUUACAUUCCAGGGCAAUAAUAUUGCACAACCUAGUGAUGCUCCUGCACCAGAGGAUACAAGUGGAGCUCAAGUAAAGAGGGGAGCUUGAAUGGACAGGUAAACUUUGCUCAAAUCUUUCUUUGAUAGCUUCUUAGCAAGAGAAACAGAUCAUGGAAAUGUUAUGCCAUUCUAAUUCAUGGUGUUUGAUCGAUGAAUAUAGUAGAAUAUUAUGACAGGUCGAAGUCCGUAUAUAUGCUGGUCUAAGAUUUAUCACGGUGUGCUAACCACUCGAUAGCCUUCUUAGCUAGAUAAUUGACAUCCUAUUCACUAGUAUUUCAUAGUGUUUAUCGAAUAUAACAUCACAAUAAAACUAAUUAAUGUGAACAUCAUUAGGGUCAUCAUUUAUUGGAUAAAGUAAUAACCAAUGUGAGAAGCUUUCAAUGGUGGCCCUAAUAACCAGCAACCAAUCCAACCCAAGACCAACUGAUACGAUUAUUCAUGUUGUACUUGGUAGGGAGUGGUGGUCUCGAUCAAAUCAUAAGAAGCAAAGACAAAUUAAGUGUACAUAUGUAACAUAUCCAACUGAUAAAGGACUUUAGGUGACAAUUAGUGAUUGGUCGAGUGUGAUACUUCUUGCACAAGCAUUUACCCCGAUUUUCUUGUUAGCCCACCAUCUCCAAACUAAUAGACAGCCUAUACCGGAAAAUUUAUUGACAACCCAAACAGUCAGUUUGUAAGGGCAGCGUAUGGAGUCAUGACGGUUAAUUAGCUUAUUUAUGGUUUUUAUUUUCUUAUAAUCAAGAAUUUUAUUACAAUAUCUGUAUCUUGAGUUUUCCUAGCAGCAUGUCUCUAAAACAUACAGGUACGUACUGUAAUGGCAAAAUUAACCUUGUCAUUUCUUUCUUGCAGCCUGGCCUUGUUGGUUCAUCAAAUGAGGUUGACCAUUCAGACAGUGCGAGGGAAAUUAUAUUUAGAACCUCAUCAACUGAGCCAACUCAUUCGGCACCUUUAAUUUAUUGCUAGAGUUCUAUAUAUGCAUUUUUCGAGCAAUGGUAUACAAAUGAUCAUAUUGAGUGGUGGACUUAAUACAUGCAUGCACUAAUAAUUUGGGAGAUGGAGAACGUUUAUUAUAUGGAUGUGUUUUUCCUAUGAAUUAAUAAGAAACACUGAAUGUGUGGUAAUGAUCAUGAACCAUUUUUCAAGAGUUAAUUCUUGUUUCAGUUUCUGGUCGAAAGCUUGACUUCUUUACUGGUCCAUGUUUUUCGUUCCUACCGAUUUCAGUCUAGGCUUGUUUAUUUGGCCCAUUUCAUGAUAACACAGAUUAGCAGACUAAUGAUUGUGUAUUUAUUCAGCAGGAGGGUUUAAGAAGCGUCAUAGAUUAGAUAUUUUGUAGUAGUGCACCCUUGCAUUUGUUUCGUUCCAAAUCUCCCAAGAAACAAGCAUCGCGAAGGAGGCCAUGCCAUUUCACUUUGUCCCUUGGAUGUUGCAGAUAACCGAGCACCACCAAUACUACCUGACUGAAUCAAAGCUCGACCAAAGUAGGAUAUCAAUGUGCAGGAAAUCUAAAACCAAUAUAUCUAAUCAUUCUCCAAACACGUAGCGAGUAUUGAUAUUUGAAGAUCAACUGCUCUGCCAAUUGCUGCUAUCGCUCUUGCCUAAUUGACAUAAGCUGCAGUUUGGUCAUCCUCGUCGUUGAAGCCGGAUGACCAUCCAAACCGAUUUUGAAUAAUGAGCCAUGCAAAAAGUUUGCAUUUUGGCGGGGCACAAAUUGAAAACGGCAUUCUUCAUAAUUGAACCAACGGCUCCUUCGAAUUGAGCCCUAUAUGCCGAUGCCACCGAAUAAACCCUUGAGGCGCAGACACUCCAUGUGUUGUCAUCCGAAUCAUUCUCCUAUAGAUGCAUGCCUGCAAUCGGCCCUAUAAAUCAAAGAAUUCAGUGAGAUGCUGAACCUUUAGUCCCAUAGAUAUGUGUUAAUGUUGCUAUUCCAAAGAUCAUGGCCCGACGCUUUCUGACACAUGAAUUCUUCAGCUUUGAAAUUGCAAAGAUGGAAGGAGCUAUGUCUUUGGGCUUGUGACCACCAAUCCAAGGGGAGUGGCAGAACCUAGCAGUUUGCCUGUCUCCAACCGUUAUUUUGUUGCUUUGUAGAAGAGGUCCAUAUCAUCGUCAUCGUAAAGAUGCCCCAACUCACCCCAAGCUGUUGUUGGGUCUUUUCUAUCGAAGCCACAGCCACCGAAGGCAAGCACUGCCGAGAAUUUAUCUAGAUUCAGAAUCCAAAUCCCACCAAUAUUGGUUGGACUACAAACCAAAUCCCAAUUUACCUUGCGUUUCCCCCCUGCAACCUUGUCCAUCCCAGCCCGCAAAAAGGGCCCUUCACAGAUUGUCGAUGGACUUCAUGACCUCCCUUGGCAUAAUAAGGCCACUUCCAAUGCUAGUCUCUUAGCAUGUUAUCUUAGACAUUUUGUUGACAUGACAUCCUCUUAAUGAUGAAACUGUCUCUUAUGCUAGCGACCGUCUCUUCACGUAAACCAACACAAAGUCAUUAACUCUCUCUCACUUACAAAGCUAUUAAAUAACUGCUAGUUUAGAUACCACCUCAAGAGACAAUGAAUUGGAUAUAUGGCUUCUUAGCAUUUAUUGUGGGUUAAGUGACAACACCUAAUGGACGAUGCGCUGGGAGUGACCUAAGAGGUGUAUGGUAGAUCGCUUUGGAAUUAAUAACCGAUUGGAAAGGUGCUCCUCCUGGUAUCGUGAUGUGCUUGAUUUGCUAACCACCAAUUUAGUCGAAAUUUUGUCAAUGAAAUAGUGAAAAUCCACAUUCUUUAGGCUGUGAACUGAGAGGGCUGGGCAUACCCAGAUACCACAUCGGAAAGCUUGUGUGCACUGCCAGGAAGCCUUGAAAAAAACCACGGGCCACACAAGGCACAUCCCCCACCAUGUACAGGACGCCAAAAUUUGUUAUAAAAGGGCACACGCACACGCGGAACAGCUAGCACAAACUUCGCUCCUACACUAGUCCACUGCAGGUCACGAGACUCUCCACUGCAUCAUCCAUUCCGGCCCCCUCCUCUAGCUCUCACGCACGGCCGGCGAAUCGGCAAUUCAUGGCCGCGACCACCUCCUCGGUUGUCCCCGUGCUCCUCAGCUUGCCGAUCUUCGACGGCGAUGCAUCCCUCGGCGAGGUCGAGGUGGUCGACGUCCCGGAGAAGAAUCACCCGUUCCGGAAGAACGAGAUCCGCAUCAGCCGGCGUUCUCCGCCCAGCCAGACGUGCCCGCCUCUCGCCGUCCUGCAGAUGAUCAGCCCCGGUUCUAUGCUCUGCAAGCUCCGGCCCAAACAGCCCAGAUCUCCCCAGCUGCACGCCCUCCACUCCGCCUGCAUCAACCAACGCAUGGUACCUUCUUAAUUGUCUAAUUAACUUCUCCCCAUCCAGAUUCAGACUGUUAGAAUAAUCUUGUUUACGAGCUUAAUUAUCUAGGUUCUUAACAAUUUUCAUUAAGUUGCACGGCUAGUUGUAGUCCGAACUAUACAUGGAAGUCUUUAAUUAUCGAUGUGUAUGUGGUUGUGUGUAGACCGCCGUGGUUAAUGUCGCCGGAGGGAAGGAGGAGCUGCACCUCGUGGCCAUGC
rnacentral:lncRNA from 1 species